AGAGAGGACAUGGAGGUCCGGAGAAGUGACAGGACUCCCUUCUGAUCACAAGGCAAAAGAGGAACUGUGGGGAGGGGAGCUAGAGAAUGGUCAGUUCCCAGUCCUGCACAUUUUCAUUAAACAGAUUUAAUGCUGUUCAUUUCACAGAUUCCUCCAGGCGACUGUUUGAGGGGAGAGGUCUAUUUGUUGGCUUGUUUACUUAUUUACUGGCCUCAUUUUACAGGUGAAGAGACAGGUGGGAGGUGGGUGUAGGAAAGCAAAUGACCUCCCCGGGGUCACACGGCUCACCCAAGAUGGAUGGAGUUGGACUCCAAGGUCAGCCUCCAUCCUUGUGCACAGUUCCCUCCGAUUGCUGGAAGUCACAGCCAGAGGUUUAUCUUGAAUCAAUCAACAUUGCCACCCGUAUGCUUAUGCUCUGUUACAGAGAAAACAUUCCCAUGCUUUCCUAGCACGAACUGUGUUUAUCAAUAACUGUUCCUCAAUUGCUUCAAUUUUCACAUUAUUAAAAAGCUAAAACCUGUCUCACUUGUCGCUUUCUUCUCUCUGCUUGGAAUGGGUUUUUCUUUUUUGUAACUGGGGCUGGGACUGAAAAAUGAGAGAAGGAUUUGGGUCUGGUGCCCACCUUGCCACCAGGCAACUCCCCGCUCCUUGGUCUCCUUCCUGUUGGCAUCUCAGCAGCAGGUGGUCCCCAGCCUCAGCCUGGGUCAGGGAUGACCGGAGACGACCAGAGACCCACUCCGGUUCCAGCGUCCCAGGAGUGUCCAUAUCCAGUUUCAUGGCUAAAAGAUGUUUGAUGGUUUUCAGCUCUGGGCUGUCUGUGUCAGAAGGGAAAAGCUGACAGCUCACUUUCAGAAUCGGCUUUUAUGGGAGCCUCAUGUAUCUUCUAGGCUAGAGUCCCCGCUUGGGCCCUGAAGGCAAAGAGAAAACAGGAAGGAAGCAACUAGGGAAGGAAGGAGGAUAAAGAGAAAGAAAAUAAUGAAAGGUGAAAAGAAAGAACAAAGAAAUGCAGAAAAGAGGGGAAAACCGAAAGAGAGAGAGAGAGAGAAGGAAAGAUGGAGAACACCAAGGAACAGGAAAAAAGACAUGAAACAGGGUGGUUUGUUUUUCUUUCUUGCUGUUUGUGAUAGAUUACCCUGGACUAGCUGGAAGGGAACGGAGUAAUUGGACCAAGCUAAUUAGAUCUUCAUUUGAUUUUGUGUUUGUUUGUUUGACUACUUAGUUUAUAACUUGGCAGGGAAUUUUAUCACAUAUACUCUGCUAACUGGUUUAUCUAAACGGAGAUUGAGCAUGAACAGAAUUGACAUUGGAUUUGCUGCUUCAGACCACACAGGAGAGGGGAGAAAACCUUUUCAAGCAAAUGCGGACGUCUAGGUGCAGUAGCAGACCUAACAGGGGACCUCAACAGCCUCUCGGAGUCCCAGGGACGGCAGUGUUGUUGGGCUGCAUUUAUGUGGUGAUUCUGAUGGAAGCAAAUGGAGGAGCGGAGGAGUGUCUCAAUCAGUGCAAUCAUUACCACAGCUCAGUGUUGAGAAACUCCUCGCAGAUGCUGAUAGGCAGCAUACCAUGGCAGAGAACACCAGCCCCCACCAGCGACCAAGGUUUCUUUCUUUAUCCUGGAUGCAUGGCUGAACCUCAUCUUAGCCCCCUUGCACUUGGAGAGGGGGAGCCAAUGGAAGGUGGCGGUGUGGAGUAUCUCCCUUGCAGGGCACUGCCUUCUCUCCUUCUGUGGCAGCCUUGGAGGUCCCAUGUUGGAGAUGGCAGUGCCACAAGAUGGGAGGAGUCUUGGCCCUAAAUCACUGUGAAGAAGGCUGCCCCCUGAACACUUGGUUAGACUUUGGAGUGGGCAAGAAGACGGUCUCAAACUCAGUGGCUUAGCAAUAAAGCUGGACUUGUUACAGAUGUGGGUGGUAGCCUACCCUGAUGACACUGACCUUGCCUUCUCCCUGCCUCCCAUUCCUUUGCUCUUAGCAGAGAUUCUGAAGACAAUGCUCAGAACUGAUGUGCUCCAUUACCCAAUAUAGUUUGAUUCCCAAGUCCACCCCACCCCCAUUAGAGCACCAUUGCUAUUUGAGAGACGAACCUAUGGUUGGACUCUGUUUCUGGAACUUUCUGUGGCCUCAGGAAGGUCAUGUUACAGCUGAGGAAACUGAACUCAGAGAAGGCAAGUGGGACUAACAGAACCAGGGGUAGUGGAUUAUUGUGGAGAUUAGAUGGGACCAGGGGUGGGAAGCAUCUGGCACAUAGAACGUGCUCAAUAAAGGUCCAUCACAACAUUUUUCCUUC